rnacentral:lncRNA from 1 species
ACCAAAAAAGGGGCAAAGACUGCAACAAGAAUGAAGAAGAAAAGGUAGUAAUUGGAAGAGGGUUGAAACAAAAAACUCGAUGGUUAUUUCUGGCACAAAACAUAGCUAAUGAAAGGGAGGAAAUAAUUUGCAAAAUCGAAGGCAAAUUUUUCUUGGAAGAGUUUCUAGUGCCCAAGUUGAAAAAAGAACCCAUCGCAACGGUUAUUAAGAAGAGAAAAUCAGCGUCCACCCAAGGUUCCAUCUUUAUAUGGUUUGAAACGGAAAUAGAAAAACCUUGUUGGAAUCGAUAAUCUACUUUUACUUCCCUAUACAAAGAAAAUUUCAAAAGAUUUAUCCUUAAAUCAAUUACUUUAGCUCCCUUCUCAUCUGAACUAAACAAGUGGAGCCUCUGUCAACAAAGCCCUUCUCCAAAAAGAAAGGAAUUUCAAGUUCAAAUUAAUUGCAAGAAAGAAAAGCAAUAGAAGAUCAAAGUCUUAUGGCAACUGGGGAAUUUUCUACAGCCAUGUUGAAAGGAGUUUACAUUUUUCUAUAGAAGCUUAUGCAGAUUGGUAAGUGGCUCUUGGCCUAAAAGAGUAAAACAAGCCAUCCUCGUCCAACUUUCUCAUAAACUAACGUGGCAACACUAUUUUUCCACCGUUUUUCGGUUGAGAAGUGCUUCUUGCAAAGAAAUUCCCACAACUAUAAAGUUCCACAUCGCGUGUUUGACAGAAUGUUCAACUCAGAAAUCUUCUCUAUGGCUACAAUAAUGCAUGACAUUUUCCCAACUUCGACAAAGGCCGUUGAGGCAUCCACCGGUGCUAAUGACAUCCCGCAACACCACAAUGACCACCGGUACAUUGAUGUAAUUCCAUCCAUAUUAAUUGGUGAUGGGUGAAAGACUGGCAUUGGCGUGUUUUUCAAGUUGGUGGGUUGUCAAUUUCAGUCUUUUGCAGAUUUUUGCUAGCUAUGUAAUAGGCUUUUUGGCAGAAUAAGUGGUACCUUUGCUGGCCUUUCCUGCCGUCCAAAUGUAUCAACACAUUUGGGGCAGGUCAGCUAAC